rnacentral:lncRNA from 1 species
AAUACUUUUUUUUUUUUCUUAAAGACAAUGCCGCUAGCAUAGACCAGUCUUAAACUUGUUACGUAGCAGAACAUGGCUUUAAACCUCUCCUCUCCCACACCAGAGUGCUGGGAUUACAUGUUGUAGGGGAGUCAGAUCCCGUGCUCCAGGCAGCACUACAGCAGCUGAGCUACCUUUACACGCCUACUUUGCCCCUAAAAAAAAAAAAAAAAAAAAAUCUGCUUACAUUUAUAUAUCCAGAUUUUCUCCCAAAAUAAUUUUACUACUAACCUUUUCCUUUAGUGAUGGUGUUAACAUCUUUUGUUACUAUUAUUUCAAAACACAAUAGAAUUCUCUCCAUAGUAAAUUAACAGUAAAUGGUACCUCUUGGAUUCUGUCAUAUGCCAAGUACAAGUACAGGUUAUGUAAGGCAUUGGGACAUAUUUUUUUUUCUUCUGUUGAAGUCUUGGCUUAGUCUCUCCUACAUGAGUUAACAUAAUACUAUUGCAUGUAGUUUAGUGAGUUGAUGUACAGAAAGAAAGAGAAAUGUUGUAUAGGGCUAGACAGAGCUCAAGCCCGGGCCCCGGUCCUGCAGGGCAGGGACUCUGUCACUGAGCUGUCUCCCCAACAUCCACUUAUUUUCAGAGCUGAAUAUUCAGCAGCAUCUUACAGGUGGGUAGAAAUAAUCUUAUCCCUAUUUAUCAGGCUAAUCUAGAAUUUAUGUCCGUGUUGAUGAAACACUUAGAGUUAGUUCUUUUUUGUUUGUUUGUUUGUUUUGGUUUUUCAAGACAGGGUUUCUCUGUGUAGUCCUGGCUGUCCUGGAACUCACUCUGUAGACCAGGCUGGCCUCGAACUCAGAAAUCCACCUGCCUCUGCCUCCCAAGUGCUGGGAUUAAAGGCGUGCGCCACCACGCCCCGAGAGUUAGUUCUUUUGUAGGGUAAAAGUUGAGGUUUAAAAUGUUUGAGGAGAGAAUUCUACUUUGCUCCCUAGUUAUUACUGUAGCAUGUUAGCACUUAGAGUAGCAGGUGCUCUGCCUCCUCUGUACGAAAGGAGCAGGUGUUCCCUCCUCUGUUCCCACAGCGAGAGUUUUGUUUCCUGGAUUCUAGCCUUCGAUGCACAGGGUCAGGGCACGUUUCUAUCAGUAACAGCAACUAUAGUGGUUCAUUGUUUUGUUUGUUUGUUUUUUAAUGCAAAACAAAAGGAAAGUGGACACUUAAGUUAUGCCUGUCCUAAAAACAUGCUUGGCGAGCGUGAGCCUCC